AUCGAACGCUGGCGGCAGGCCUAACACAUGCAAGUCGAACGAGUGGCGGACGGGUGAGAAAUGUCUGGGAAACUGCCUGAUGGAGGGGGAUAACUACUGGAAACGGUAGCUAAUACAGCAUACCAGCGGAUGUGCGCAGAUGGGACUAGCUCGUAGGUGGGGUAAAGGCUCACCUAGGCGGCGAUCCCUAGCUGGUCUGAGAGGAUGACCAGCCACACUGGAACUGUGACACGGUCCAGACUCCUACGAGAGGCAGCAGUGGGGAAUAUUGCACAAUGGGCGCAAGCCUGAUGCAGCCAUGCCGCGUGUAUGAAGAAGGCCUUCGGGUUGUAAAGUACUUUCAGCGGGGAGGCGUUACCCGCAGAAGAAGCGCCGGCUAACUCCGUGCCAGCAGCCGCGGUAAUUC
rnacentral:rRNA from 1 species